GAAAUCAAAUCCUCUGAGAAGUGCUGUAGCACAUAUACAAAUGUAUAUGCACCCAUCAUUAUUGACAGUGAAUCUGAGCCAGAGGAACACCUGGAACCUGCUGCAGAGGAACGCCUAGACGACCUAACUGCUGCAGACAUUGUGUCAAAACUCUCAAUGAAGAUCACAACAGCAUCUCACAGCAGGUUCAAUAUUAACAGAACCAAUGUGUGGGACGGUGCUCUCCGUGGCUUCAAGCCUGCUUCAUUUGAUCCAUCUCAUGAGAUG